GACGAACGCUGGCAGCGUGCUUAACACAUGCAAGUCGAAGGGAAAGGCCCUGCUUUUGUGGGGUGCUCGAGUGGCGAACGGGUGGGUAACACGUGAGUAACCUGCCCUGGACUUGGGGAUAACGUCAGGAAACUGGGGCUAAUACCGGAUAGGAGCUCCUGCUGCAGGGUGGGGGUUGGAAAGAUUCGGCGGUGGGGGAUGGACCCUCGGCUUAUCAGCUUGUUGGGGGGGUGGUGUGUUACCAAGACUUUGAGGGGUAGCCGGCGUGAGAGGGUGUCCGGCCACAUUGGGACUCUGAUACGCCCCAGACUCUUCCGCGGGGGAGCAGUGGGGAAUAUUGCGGAAUGGGCGGACGCCUGUUGCAGCACCGUUGCGUGCGCGCUAACGGCGUUCUGGGUUUAUACCGCUUUCGCCUGUGACGAAGCGUGAGUGACGGUAAUGGCUAAAGAAGCACCGGCUAACUACGUG
rnacentral:rRNA from 1 species